AUUCCCCCUUGUCAAGCAGACAGAAGUUAUCCUCUUGGCUGUAUUUCUCUUUGCUACCACAAGUGGUUUGGUUCUUUCUUAUCCUGUCUUUUCAUGUACUUUUGGGCAAAACUUAAAACUCUGAUUUCCACAAACUGCUUUCAAGGUCAAGUCAUGGCCGUUGCCGAGAAAACUUGCGUCAUUCUCUGCUUCCUUGCAAGAGGUGGUUUCUGCCACUCAGAACUGGCAGGGACAGCUAUUUGGAGCAGGGCCUUUUGCCUUGUUUCUGUGGGGAGGCUCCGCUGUGCCCUGCGUGUGGUUGAUACCACACAGGGAAGUGGACAGGAGCAGCAAGGAGACCUCAGGCUACAGUACUGCCCACCACCACUCCUGCGCUGAGGGAGCAAGUAUGAGCACAGAUGACUCAGACACUGCUUUGCUGUCUGUUCCCGAAGGGAGUGACCCUGGGAGUAACUCAGAAGCUUCAGGCCCCAUGGCUCACGUCUUCCAGGAGCUUCCUGAAGGCAGUCUGGCUUGUAGGAGUUUGAAUGGAGGUGUGUCAGCAGUUCCCUUGCUAUGUAGAACCACGCUUCUGGGACUACUGGUCACUGGGGGAUAUCCGCACAGCGCUAGCUCCUCAACAGGCUCCAUCUCUGCAGACCUGGAGCUCCUGGAAGCCCGAUCCUAUCUCAUUCAAACAGUAGGGCCUCACUGAGCAUCACUGGGCCUGGCAAUGAAGGCAUUGCGUGUGGGUCAUCAAAGAGCCUUCUGUACUCACUGGUGCAGAGGGUGUCUGGUCCCUGUUUCCUUUUCCUGCAGUAAAUCCUCUCCUUUUUGUCUUCCCCAAAGUUAAAUGAAUCUUCCUUUUUGUGGGUAGAGGACUGGAAUCCCCAGGCAUACAGCAGCACUUUGAGUUCAGAGCUCUGCUUCAGGAAUGGAGCAUAUUAGCUGAGAGUCAAUCAGAAGCCAGCAAAGGGAAACCUCCUACAAUGUACAACCCAGUAGGAGGAGAUGGCAAGUGAGGGGGUGUCUUUUGGCAAAAAUGCAGCAAUUUGGCAACAAUUGCAUGUAACCACCUGCUUCGCAGUAUGGAAAUGUGAGUCACAGCUAAACUGAAUCAGACUGCCUCUCUGUCACUGGGGUUGCAACAAGCGAAACCAUUUGGGUCAAGCAGAGGCUAAGCCAGGGCCAGGGCAAGGUGCUGGAGAAAGAAAGGGGCAGCAGCUAAAAACAGAGAGAGAGAAUUCUCUAUAUUCCUUGUUCUAGUGCUGGAUGGGAGAGCCUGGUCUGUGCUGCAAUUACACUGGAGAAAGACAGCACAGCCUUGGGCCCAGCACAACAUUCUGGGCCAUGAUUCCAGGCAUCCUCUUCACCAGGCUGCUGGUCCUGCAUGGCAGAAGGGGACUAUGCCCAGCUCAAGCAAGAAUGGGUUUUACAGGUACAACUUCCCAUCAUGUUGACCUUCUGCCAGCAUGGCCACUUCCCCUUGCUCAUACCCUGAACCCACAGGGUGCUUCCUCUGGGAGAUGGUGCUGGGUAGGAUUACCUGGGGAGGCAGGGAAAAGUAGGCAGACCUUGGUACAUCUUGACCUAUGGACAAAACACACAUGAAGUUACACCCCAUUGUGCUGGAAGGCAGGGUCUGUUGUUGAAGGGUAUGUGUAGCACCUGGGUAAAUGGAGCUGGUCAUUCUAAGCAGUAGGCUUGAGAUAUCCUUAUGCAAACGAGCACUGUUUGCUCAUGCAAACCUGCCAAAGGCAGAAAGGUGAGACAGCCCAGGUGCAGCUCUCCUGCCAGAUACACAGAAGCCACUGCAAAUCUCAUUUUGCACUGUGAAAAGCCCAAUAAGUUUGGUCCCCAAAUGAUCCUUCAUUACAAGAGGUAGGAGAAAUAGCAGCCAGGAGCUUGCUUUCUCUGCAACUUGGAGGUGUACAGAAUAGUGUCUGGGUUUACUUGCUUCCUCUCCUUCCUCUUUCCCAAAGUGGAGAUGAAGUCCCUGCCCUCUCGUGCAAUCCUCCUCCUUGGACCAUAAUUAUUAUUGACCUCUUUCUAUGUCUGCUGAGCCUGUCUGGAAAGAAAGCCCUGUUUGCUGUCCUGGUGCUGCUGCUGCCCUCUUUCCUGGUUUUCCAUUUGUUUCCAUUGCAGUCCCUUCUAUCCCUAAACCUGUCCAUAGGAAAGGAAUCUGUCCAGAGCAGUGCAGGUGUUUCGGUGCCAUCUCUAAGCAGGUCUGGUUGUGAGGACAGACAUCAGCACUGGGCUUCAGGUACGUGUGACACCUUCUUGAGGAAUGGAGUUCGCCUUGGUAGGAUCCAAGCCCUGCAGAUCCAAACAGCACAGCAGGAGCUCAGCGGGCAUCCUGUCACUGUGACACAUGGUGUAUUUACCUUUGUAAGAAAGCCUGUUUGUACAGAAACAUUAUCAUGCAAUGCAGAGGGUACACCCCUGUUUGCACGGGUGAUGGCUCUUGCCCUGGUGCCACGGGGACAGGCAGCUGUCAGAGGCUCCUGCUCUGCCGGGGGUGCUGCAGGGGAAGGCAGGCAGCUCCGGGGGUAAGGGUUUUGGACAGGAGAGAGCAAUAGCCCUGAGUUCAACAGCUGAUGGGAUAGGUGUUGGAUAGAGACAGCUGCCCAGGAGAUGGCAGCAGCUUUCCACUCACUGUACCUGGACUUGCUGUGCUGGUUCUGGUGUGUGCCAGCACGGGGCCAAGAAGGUAAAAACCUCUCUCUGCUGUCCCACUGCAGAGGGGCUCGGCACCCACCCCACACAGGUCUAGCACGCCUGGGAAUGUGUGCCACUGUCCUGUGGGGAAUCAGGAGACUGCCGUCCCUAGAAAGUAUCUUCCAUUCCUCGGUGUCUGUGUGGGAACCCACACCAUUUGUUAAGUUAAACGCUAACCCCAACAGUGAGUGUUUGGUGCAGCUCAGUGAGAGGUGUGGGAAACCCCAUCCACCCCCAUGUUUCCCCACACACGCUGUCUGCUUCCCCUCUGUCCCCUGGCAGAGGGAGCUGGGGUGCUGGCAGGGAGUAGGGAGCAGGGAACCUGGUGCCAGGUUGCACCAUGGCUCAGAUCCAGGCUCACUGCCUCCAGCCUCCUUGAAAGUCAUUUCCACCUGAUUUACAUUUUACAUACACCCUGUCAUGCAGAAGCAGGAGCAGGCAGCAUCAGGAGGGAGGAGGCAGGGAUUCUGAUGAGCUGAGCCGUGACUGCACACAAACAACCCUCAGGAAGGAGCAAAGGAGAAAGAGACAAUGUCUCUUUAGUCAGAGCUGCUUCUUGUGUGCUUUCCUCCUCAUGUGGUCGCCCACAGUGCUCACACCAUCCCUAUCCACAUUUCCAACAAUGGUCAAAUGCCUCGGGUGCCGAGUGGGUCACAGGGUGUAGUUGGGAAAGGGGAUUUCUAUUUCAUAUUCGUUGCACAUUCUGAAGGGUGCUGUGUUUGGGGGGGUGGCUGAAAGGGUUAAGAGGGCUGAGGCUGAGCUUCACAGGUGUGAGUGCUGCUGAGUAUAUAAGUGGGGCUUGGGCAGGCCUGUGCUGUUCCUACCGUUGUGGCAGUGUUGGAGGUACUGUUUCAUAUGUUAUCAUGGUAAAGGUAUGGAUAAAAUCUGGUCUGAAGGAAGUGGGGAGAAGCAAGAGGGGCUUUAAAUGGGAGGAUGUGGUUGUGGUGGUCUGGGGACUGCUGUAAUGGGCUAGAAUUUGCUUGGCUUAGUUCUCCUACUACUGCCAUAACGAGCUUUGCCUUUAAGGCUGGGCAGGAGAGUGUCUUUGCUAGUCACUGUGGUCUCUCUAACUCCCAGGGGUGUAUACACAAAUCUAUUAACUUCUCUGAUGUUUGUAGUUAAUGUGGAGGGAGCAAAGAAGGUACGCACAGGGGAACAGGAUGGUGUGAGAAGCUGUCUUCACCUGGCAUUUUUAUAUUGAAAGAGGCUAUUUCUGGAGGUAGUAAGGAAGUAUCAUAAUGUGCUGGAGAUGGCUCAGGCCAUAGUGGCCGGCUGUGGAGAUGUUCUAGGUCUCAGGAGCUGGCAGGGCUGAAGAUUGGCCCCAGGGCAUGCGACCUCUGCCUGGAGGCUUUUUGAGUCUUGGAUUUAGCAGUUGGUGAUGUUAGCAAGACAGCAGUGACCCCGUGUGAGAACUGUGAGGAUUACAAUCAGUACUGGUUUCCAGUCAGGUGGCUGGAUGGAGAUCCUUCUUCUAGUGGCUGGUGCGCCUUGACUGCUAGCUGCCACAGGCUUUGCCAGGCUGGAAAACAGGUUGCAGCCUGUGGAAAUCCAUGCUUGCUAGCGCGGUAUCUGCAACUUCAUUCCGGGAAGGUAGUUUCCAGCUUUAUGGUGAUGCUAUGUUUAUUUAUUACUGCUUGCCUCCUAUCAUACAUUUGUCCUCCUGAACUUGUCAACAGGAAGGUGACUUACAGUGAGAAUGGAGGGAGAAAGGAUGUUUCCAAUCCGUAGUACAUGUUUAAUCCUCACUUUCUAUUGAUAUUUGUGGAUUUUCGAUUUAAUCAGUAAUGAAUGUGCCUGGCAGUUGAUUUUGCAGGACCCUUGGUGGGCUCUGACCACUGUGGAGUGGGUUCUGAGCAGCCCUUUCUUAGUCUGGGGAAAUUCUGAGGAGUAAUAAAGUUGCUGUAAUGAAUUGUAAAAGAUACUACUAAAAGUUACCAAUUUC